GUUAGAGUGGCAGAGCCCGGCAAUUGCAUAAGAUUUAAAACCUUACACCCAGAGGUUCAAUUCCUCUCUCUAACA
rnacentral:tRNA from 1 species